rnacentral:tRNA from 1 species
GGCUUAAUGCUAUAGCUCAGGUGGUAAGAGCGCUGGUCUAGCAAUCCAGAGGUCUCGGGUUCGAAUCCCGAUGGAGCCC